rnacentral:lncRNA from 1 species
UUUUUUUUUUUUUUUUUUUAAAUCUUCCAGUCUUUGUUUUUAUUUUCCGUUCACUCUACUCCCCAUGAUGGGGUCUUACUUCUGAAGCCUGGGGCUUAUAAUAGAUCUGCCUUCCAAGUCCUGGGGAUUAGAGGUGUGUGUAACCACGCCUGACUGUAAUUACUGUUUUAAAGUUACCUCAAAACAACACUUCUUGGUUAUUUAAUUGCUUUGUGUAUAUUUAUGUGUUUUGUGGCCUGGUAUGUUCCCAGGGAGGCCAGAAGAGACUGUCAGAUCCCCUGGAGCUGGAGUUACAGGAAUUUGGGAAGCAUGUGAUUGUAGGUGUAGGAUCGGAAGGAUUGGAAUGUGGGUCCUCUGAAAGCAGCGGUUGCUCUUAAUUGCUGAGCCAUUUCUAGCCUGCUUGGUUUUGUUUUGUUGUUUUUUUGAGGCAAAUUCUUUCUUUGUAGCACAGGCUGUCCUUGAGCGCAUUGUCAUUUUUUUAACCUCCUCCGUUCUAACAUUGCAAUUAUGAGCCACCAUGCCCCUCUAAAUUUUUUUUGAUUGUUUUUUCAAGUAGUAAACCUUUUGAAAGAAUUCUCUACUUUGUCAAGUGCAGGUACUCCUUCAAAUAACACCUAGAAUAUACUUCGCAUUGAGCAAAUAUUUCUCACGUGGAUAGUGAAAAUUCAGAGUUCUAAGGGUAUGGUGUCCUAAUAAGUAUAUGUUAUGUAUAUGUGCCCCCUGCCAGCCUAAAUGGCGAUUGUAAUGUGUUACUACUUAUACUUAACUGUUUUCAGUGACUCCAAAUUUCAUAAUUUGACUGAUUCAGACAUGGCUAUUUAAAUUAUUAGUCUUAUAUAUGAGCCACUAGGCCAGUAGCUGACUGUUUUCUUGUAUAUUGUUGUAUAGUAGUUUAAGUUGCUAGAAAUCAGCAUCAGAUAUUCUUGUUAGAUUUUGGUCAGUUUGGUCUGCUUCAGAAUAUCAGUGUUAGUUAGUUAUAUGACAUUUCAUUUAUCCCAUUGAAUAAAUUUCAUUUGUUUUGGGUUUUUAAAAAGUUAUUUGCCCUUUGUCCAUCAGUGGUUCCAGGUGAACACAGGCUUUCUUUACUCUAGGCAGUCACUCUGCUAUUGAACUAUUUACCUGGCUGCAUUCUCUCUGUUUUCUUUUUAAGUCAGUGGGCUUUCACAUUAUUGACUGGACUUUAUGCUAGUAAGCUUAGUGGCUGCUACUGCCCUUUCAUAUGUGCUCCCCUCCCACACCCGCCCUUCUGAAAACUUCAUUUUAGAGACAAGGUCUAACUGUAUCCUUGACUGGCUUGGAAUUUGCCCUGUAGACCAGGCUGGUCUCAAAAGCCUACAAAGAUCCUCUUGCCUUUGCCUUCUGAGUUCUGAGGUUAUGUACCCCAUGCCCGCCUGUGUGUUGUUUUUCUUAUACUAAUUUAAAACUUGAUGUAGUUAACUUUAUUUAAAAGCUUAUGAAAAACUUAAGAUGCAUCUCAGAAUAUUGUGUAGUUCUGUGUGUGUGUACUAAAGAUGGACCCCAGGGUUUUGCAAAUCUAAACAUAUGUUUUUAUCACAAGCAAUAUUUUUAACCCUUGUUUUUAUUUUUGGGGCUUUUUAAAAAUAAUAUAAAAAGAUUAACUAUUUUGGUGAACAAAAAAGUGGAAAUUUGACUUUAUCUUGAUAAAAUGGAUUCCAGCUUUUUUGUUUUUUUUUUUUAACAUUUGCUGGAAAUCACCAUUCUGAUAUAAAAUGCUAUCUCUAUUAGUGUUUUUCCAUAUAUUUCCAUAGUUUUGGGCCAUAUUGGUUCAGUGAUUAAUUUGUUACCAUUACCAAAUUUUAGUUGUUUUAAUAUGUGGCUGGAGUUACUUUUCUUAACACUAGUCAUAAAGCUCUUAUAGAUUAGUAAAGGGUAAUUUUGAUUUAGAUUACAGAAGUCUUAGAAUAUCUUCAAGCCAGUGUGGUGGCUCAUACCAGUAAUCUUAGUGCUUUGGAGGCUGAGACAUGAGGUUCACCAGCUUUCAGUGCCAGCCUGAUUACAGAGUGAGAUCCUGACUCAAAAAACAAAAUAUAUAAAUAAAAAUUAUUUCUAAGUAAAUUCAUAUCUUUCAGUAGUUAAGGCUAUUUUAUUUCUAAGAAGAGAGUUUAUUUCUCACAGGCAAUUUUAUUCUAAAAGGAAGACUUUUAAAUUUUUUCCUAGAUUGUUGCUUGACUGAAUUAUUUCUCAAUAAUUCACUUAUAAAAGGAAGCAGUGCCAGAUAUAUUGGCGUAUGCCCUUUAUCCCAGCACUUAAAUCCUGGCAGAGGCAGGUGGAUCUCUGUGAGUUCAAGGCCAGCCAACCUAGUCUAUAUAUUGAUUUCCAGGGCAUCCAGAGAUUAUGCUAGCAUUUGUAGAUUUCUUUUGAGUGUAAUUUUUCAUUUUAGUAUGUAGGAAUAUUUGAAACAAUUUGUGAAAUAGUAUUUGUAUUCAUGCUGCUUGGUACUAGGUGCUGCUUUUUUCGUUCAUUUUUAGAUAUCUUUUUUUAGUGUGUUUUUCAUGCUCAUAUCAUGUGCACCAUGUAUGUACUUUAUGCCUGUGCUUUGGAACUAGAGUUAUAGACAAUUGUGAACUGUCAUUUGUGUGCUGAGGUCUGAACCCAGGUCCUUUGGAACACCAGCAAAUGCUCUUAACUGUUAAGGAAUCACUCUAGUGCCCCUCUUUUAAGAGGUGUGGGCACGCAAGUGUGCAAUGCUAGGAUUUGAACUUAGGGCCUCAGAUGUUUGGCAAGUUCUUUAACAAUACCAGAAAACUAUACUCAAAGCACAAAGAAAAUUUUCUGCAAUGAAACUAAAACCAGCCUAUUAAAUGACUGAGAAGAGUUGGGGAUACAUGAAAUUAAGUGGUAAAAUACUUGUCUAACUAUAUGUAAGGACCUGGUUAUUAAGGCUCCGGGGACUGGGGUGGGGAAGUAUGGGGAUGUUUGGAGAGUAUAAGUUUUUAAAGAUUUACUUGAUAUGUUUAUGUGUAUAUCUGCAUAGGUUUACAUGUAUCUCAUAUAUUUAAGGUGCUCAGAGAAGCCAGAGGGCUUCCUAUAUCCUAGAAAUGAAGUUAUAAGUAGUUGUGAGUCAUUCUUUGUGGGUUCUGAGAACUGAGCUCAGGUCCUCCCUAAGAGCAACAAACAAUCUUAACUUGUGAACUGUUUUCUGGUUUUGUUUUUAAGACAGGGUCUCACCUUGUAUCCCUAGCUAGCCUAGAAUUCUUUACCAUCUACCUUCUUGUACCUCCUAAGUGCUGGGAUCAAAGGCAUAUAUAUAUAUAUACCACUAUGCCUAACUUGGCUCUAAUACCACCAUCUAAAUGGGAUCAACAUGAGUAUCAGUUUCUUUUUAAGACAGGUUGUAAUUCAUGCUCUUCUAUCCUCAGCCUCUUAUGUGCUACAAUUACAAAUGUACACAUCUAUGCCUGAUUUAAUAUAUUUUAAGUUCUCUGUUCAUUGCAUUCAUCUUUAUAUGUAACACACACACACACACACACACACACACACACACACACAGCCAAGACAGUGUCAUAUAGCACAAUCUGGCAUAGAGUUCGUGCAAUCAAGGAUAGCUUUCUGCUGCUUUUCCUGUUUCCACCUCUUGAGUGCUGGAAUUACUGGUGUGUACUAUCACACCCAGUAUAUGUGGUGCCUGAGACUUCACGCAUGCUAGGCAGACACUAAAAAUAAAGCUACAUCUUAAUCUCUUUUGUGUAGUUCUCUUUAUGCUGUAUAAACAAACUACAAGUUGUAUCCUUGAACAAAAAUGAUCACUCACUCUUUUUAUGCAGUUCUGGCUGUCCUUGAACUUGCUAUGUAGACCAGGCUAAUCUCCCUCAAGAGAUCCUCCUAUUUCUGCCUCUUCAGUGCUGAGAUUAAAGGCAUGUACCACCAUGCCUACCUGUAACUUCUGAUAAAAUAUACUGUUCAUAUAGUCCACGUAAUGCCUUCUUUUUAAAAUGACAUUCUAGGGGCUGGUGAGGUGGCUCAGUGGGUAAGAGCACCCGACUGCUCUUCCAAAGGUCCGGAGUUCAGAUCCCAGCAACCACAUGGUGGCUCACAACCAUCCGUAACGAGAUCUGACGCCCUCUUCUGGUGUGUCUGAAGACAGCUACAGUGUACUUACAUAUAAUAAAUAAAUAAAUCUUUAUUAAAAAAAAAAAAUAAAAUAAAAUGACAUUCUAAUACUUUGCAUUAACAUUGAAUAGAUGUGCUUGUUCUUGACUUAAUUGGACAUAUAAUUUCUAAAGCAGUAACUUCAGUUUGUUAUUCUUCUUUUUCCCCCUUCAGGCAGCGGAAUAUGUCCCAGAGAAGGUGAAGAAAGCGGAAAAGAAAUUAGAAGAAAAUCCAUAUGACCUUGAUGCUUGGAGCAUUCUCAUUCGAGAGGCACAGGUUUAGUGAUAUAGGAUUACAUUUCCUUCUCUAUGGGUCCAAUCACACUACUUGGUUCUGCAGUAAUAUUUUUAUACUCCUAACAUUGUAAAUGCUGUUUAUUGGUUUUCAAUUUUAGAAUCAACCUAUAGACAAAGCACGGAAGACUUACGAACGCCUUGUUGCCCAGUUCCCCAGUUCUGGCAGAUUCUGGAAACUGUACAUUGAAGCAGAGGUUAAUAUUUUAUUUAUUUUUUCUUAUAUAGCAUCUGAUGGCAAUUACAGCUUACACUAUAGUGACAGAAAAGAAGUUAGGAACAUAGUAUAAUCAGGACAAGGAGGAUUUAAAUGUCUCUGCCUUUAUUUUGUAAAAUAGGUAUGAAAGAGUAAUUAAAAUGACUUUGAAAUUUGGGUCUUUCACAAGCUGAUGAUUGUUGCAUUUUGGAGUUGCAACAACAUUAAAACAGUUUCAAUGGUGUUGGAGUGCUUUAGCCUUUUAUUUACUUGUCAUGUGUCAAUUUAUUGCCUCCUGUGUCAUUUAUUUAGAACUCAUUUGUCUUUUCCUAUAACAAACUAAUACAAAAAUACAGAAAUGUUGGCUUAGUUUUAUAGAGUAUUAUAAAUGUCUGGUGAAAUGAAACAUUUUGGAGAGUAAUUAUUUCACAUUAUAAUUUUAUGAGAAAUGCAUGGUUUGUCAGUUUAAGGACUUCAAUAAUUUAAUUUUGCCAUAUUUGAUAAAGCUUAUAUUCUACAGGAAUAAGCUAAUAUGACUCAAACUUUUUAACCAUAAUGUAUCCCAAUGAUACUGAUUUCUCUUUCCUUUUGUUUGUUUUAACUUGAAGUCAGACAUGUUUAUGUUAAUGAGUAAUGUCCCAUUCUUGAUAAUG